CUGUUUGAUCCUGGCUCAGGACGAACGCUGGCGGCGUGCUUAACACAUGCAAGUCGAACGGAAAGGCCCUGCUUUUGUGGGGUGCUCGAGUGGCGAACGGGUGAGUAACACGUGAGUAACCUGCCCUUGACUUUGGGAUAACUUCAGGAAACUGGGGCUAAUACCGGAUAGGAGCUCCUGCUGCAUGGUGGGGGUUGGAAAGUUUCGGCGGUUGGGGAUGGACUCGCGGCUUAUCAGCUUGUUGGUGGGGUAGUGGCUUACCAAGGCUUUGACGGGUAGCCGGCCUGAGAGGGUGACCGGCCACAUUGGGACUGAGAUACGGCCCAGACUCCUACGGGAGGCAGCAGUGGGAAUAUUGCACAAUGGGCGGAAGCCUGAUGCAGCAACGCCGCGUGCGGGAUGACGGCCUUCGGGUUGUAAACCGCUUUCGCCUGUGACGAAGCGUGAGUGACGGUAAUGGGUAAAGAAGCACCGGCUAACUACGUGCCAGCAGCCGCGGUGAUACGUAGGGUGCGAGCGUUGUCCGGAUUUAUUGGGCGUAAAGGGCUCGUAGGUGGUUGAUCGCGUCGGAAGUGUAAUCUUGGGGCUUAACCCUGAGCGUGCUUUCGAUACGGGUUGACUUGAGGAAGGUAGGGGAGAAUGGAAUUCCUGGUGGAGCGGUGGAAUGCGCAGAUAUCAGGAGGAACACCAGUGGCGAAGGCGGUUCUCUGGGCCUUUCCUGACGCUGAGGAGCGAAAGCGUGGGGAGCGAACAGGCUUAGAUACCCUGGUAGUCCACGCUGUAAACGGUGGGUACUAGGUGUGGGGUCCAUUCCACGGGUUCCGUGCCGUAGCUAACGCUUUAAGUACCCCGCCUGGGGAGUACGGCCGCAAGGCUAAAACUCAAAGGAAUUGACGGGGGCCCGCACAAGCGGCGGAGCAUGUGGAUUAAUUCGAUGCAACGCGAAGAACCUUACCUGGGUUUGACAUAUACCGGAAAGCCGUAGAGAUACGGCCCCCCUUGUGGUCGGUAUACAGGUGGUGCAUGGCUGUCGUCAGCUCGUGUCGUGAGAUGUUGGGUUAAGUCCC
rnacentral:rRNA from 1 species